UGGUUUAAUUCGAAGCAACGCGAAGAACCUUACCAGGUCUUGACAUACUCGUGCUAUCCUAGAGAUAGGAAGUUCCUUCGGACACGGGAUACAGGUGGUGCAUGGUUGUCGUCAGCUCGUGUCGUGAGAUGUUGGGUUAAGUCCCGCAACGAGCGCAACCCCUAUUGUUAGUUGCCAUCAUUAAGUUGGGCACUCUAACGAGACUGCCGGUGAUAAACCGGAGGAAGGUGGGGAUGACGUCAAAUCAUCAUGCCCUUAUGACCUGGGCUACACACGUGCUACAAUGGAUGGUACAACGAGUCGCGAGACAGUGAUGUUUAGCUAAUCUCUUAAAACCAUUCUCAGUUCGGAUUGUAGGCUGCAACUCGCCUACAUGAAGUCGGAAUCGUUAGUAAUCGCGGAUCAGCACGCCGCGGUGAAUACGUUCCCGGGCCU
rnacentral:rRNA from 1 species